rfam:Ovis aries breed Texel chromosome 13, whole genome shotgun sequence.
UCCCUAGUGGCUCAGAGGGUAAAGCAUCUGCCUGCAAUGCGGGAGACCUGGGUUCGAUCCCCAGGUAGGGAA